CUCCUAAAUGCUGAAGAGGACUAAAAAGCACACAACAUCAGACCACGGAGAAAAUCCCACCAAGUUCUUUGUGACAGCAAGCAGAGGCGAGGGCACCAAAAAUCCACCUCUGCCAUAUGAAGAGAGAGAGUGGGGAGGGAAAAAGCCAAAUUCUUAAGUUGUGCAAGAAUAAGUAAAUCACAUCCAACUAUGACAGCAUUAACAACACAAUAUCAAGGAUUUAUACUUUUUGUUGUUCAUGUAAGUCUCCCAAACCAUUUCUCUGCUCCUGGGCAGACAAGGCAGGACAAGUGGAUAAAUAAGCUGUGCUCGCAGCCACACGCACCUGCCAGCUAUCGUCUUACCUUCCCGCUCUUGUGCGAUCUCAUUUGGACCCAAGUAAGAAGUCUCCCCUUACAGCCACAUUGUGCUCAUUCAUGCAGUCAUUCUCUAAACCAGUCUGGCUGCUCGGAGCGAGCAGAAUUACACUUAAGCCUCUGUGACCGGGGCACUGCAGGAUCCUCGCUUUUGGUCCGUUCCCUGCUGGAGUGGGAAGCGGUGACCGAUCCCUCCCACUCAAUGGGCAAGCCCAAAUGUCCAUCUACAGCACCAAGGAUCCAUGGCUUUUAGAGUUUGUCAGAUUCUUGCAGUCUAUAGAGCUGAAAGCUCACCAAGAGGUGAGCCGGGGGUUAAAGUUAUUCGUCUCAUGAUAGAUCUGCUCUUCAGGUUUGCUGCAACAGGCCGCACUGUGCCUUUAAGAGUGCUCUGUAUGACUGCAGGGCUAGUCUUGGCACCUGGUCUUGGCCUUCUGAAUGUCCCUAUUCAGGCAGAGCUAUUGUGCUUUGACUUUUUGCUUCACCUUAAUCCAAAUGAGUUUUCAAGUUCAGACAAGCCCUCUGGUUGUUCAUAACUUUAACUACAUGGGACAUUACACAGGCACCUACAAACUGGCAGAAUCGGGCCCUUCACUAUUGUCUUAAGCGUGGUUUUGAAAAGAAUAUGGCACCGUUGCUUAUCGGUUUGCCAAAGCAAACUGUGACCUGGCAUCUGAAAAAAGCAAGGAGUCUGGGACGCGUGGCAACAACAGAUGUCUGCCGUGCAGCUGGGACAUGAACAAAGUCAGAGGGAGGAUCUGCAGGAGGCUGUGGUAGGAGGCUGAGGCCGCAGGGCAAGUGCAGCUCCUUCCCCAGCCACAGAGACCCCAUUUCAGUGCUGUCAAAUGCUUCAGAGCAACAGCUAAGAAAUUCUUUCCAUAUCUGCUGUUAAUUAGUAACUGCUUAUUUACAUCUAGGAAAGGCAAACACUGGUCUGCCUCUUCUGGAGUGCCGUGCUUCAGGAUUAGCGACAGACAGACCUUCUGCAGCUCACGACAUUUACCUACUGUAUUUUCUUUAACAGCUGAAGUAAUGACAUCUUAUUGACAGCACAGCAGAGCAAACAAUGUCUUACUGAAAGCUUCAGUGCUGGAUUUGGGCUGUCCUAAGGACCUGAGACCAAGUAAAGUAAGCAGGUUUUGCUACUGAAUGAAAGACAAUGACUGUUCUAGUUCACCGGUGGCCUUUAGCACUCCUAGACACAAAAAAGAUCUCCUCUACAAACCAUUUCAAGUGGAAUGACAUGAAUUGGACGAGAAACAUGAGAAGUAAAAAAUCGAAUAAAAAGAUAGCAGAAAGUAUGG
ensembl:lncRNA